CCUUUCCCUGUUACAAACAACCCUAAAACCCGACGAGAAGAACGCAAAACAGCAAAAAAAAAAAUCUUCCUGGAAAAAUUUUGGCCGUCUUUCAGUUUCAUGCUCUCCUCCUGCUUCCUUUCCUCCCUCCUUUCCUACUAUUAAACCUCGGCGACACUUCCUCAACUGGUCGGGAUUUGAAUUUGGUGGAGAGAGUUGAGAAAUUGGAGGAGGAUCUGAGAAGCUCUACAACAAUAAUACAGGGCUUGUCGCGGCAGCUCGAGAAGCUCGGGAUUAGGUUUCGGCUUACUCGGAAAGCAUUGAAAGAACCAAUAGCUGAGGAGCAGCAGCAGAAACAACUGGAGCUUAUUCUUGCAAUCGAAAAGACCAGUAAGCUUUGGGAUAGCCGGUAAGAGCCCAUUGAACACCGACAUACAAACGAAACUUUGGUUUCCACCAAGGAGGAUGGGAAACCAGUAGAGGUCCAUGAGACUUGAGCAUAAAUAACGACAGGGCCUAGAAUCUGAAGCUGAGGCAUCGAAGAUUUUGAGUAGCUGUUCCCCUGCACUGGAUCGAAUUGCUUGAUGCUUGCUUUCUUCUUCACUCUGUCAAGUUAGAUCUCCCUGUCCAGUCGAGAGCCAUAUGUCAAGGAAUCAUUUCUGCUUCAAGGUCUGUGAGUAAGAAUUCGAGGGAACUCGUGUAAGAGCAUGCCAUUAAGUAGUUGCGCCUACGGAGUCAGCUUCUCGGGCAAUAUUUGUCUGGCGAGCCAUUCAUUUCUAGGGGGACGGAAUCUUGUAACACUAAUGUUUCAAUUUGGUUCUGUUAUCAAUUUUACCCUUAUAUUCAUCGAA